AUGCACGCUGGCGGCGUGCCUCAUCCCUGCCAGUCGAGCGAACGGACGAGAAGCUUGCUUUUCUGAUGUUAGCGGCGGACGGGUGAGUAACACGUGGAUAACCUACCUAUAAGACUGGGAUAACUUCGGGAAACCGGAGCUAAUACCGGAUAAUAUUUUGAACCGCAUGGUUCAAAAGUGAAAGACGGUCUUGCUGUCACUUAUAGAUGGAUCCGCGCUGCAUUAGCUAGUUGGUAAGGUAACGGCUUACCAAGGCAACGAUGCAUAGCCGACCUGAGAGGGUGAUCGGCCACACUGGAACUGAGACACGGUCCAGACUCCUACGGGAGGCAGCAGUAGGGAAUCUUCCGCAAUGGGCGAAAGCCUGACGGAGCAACGCCGCGUGAGUGAUGGAGGUCUUCGGAUCGUAAAACUCUGUUAUUAGGGAAGAACAUAUGUGUAAGUAACUGUGCACAUCUUGACGGUACCUAAUCAGAAAGCCACGGCUAACUACGUG
rnacentral:rRNA from 1 species